UACGGGGGGGGCAAGCGUUGUUCGGAAUUACUGGGCGUAAAGGGCUCGUAGGCGGCCAACUAAGUCAGACGUGAAAUCCCCAGGCUUAACCUGGGAACUGCGUCUGAUACUGGAUGGCUUGAGAUUGGGAGAGGGAUGCGGAAUUCCAGGUGUAGCGGUGAAAUGCGUAGAUAUCUGGAGGAACACCGGUGGCGAAGGCGGUUCUCUGGGACGGUACUGACGCUGAGAAGCGAAAGCAUGGGGAGCGAACAGG
rnacentral:rRNA from 1 species